CGGCCACGGUGGUGGGGUUGGGAACAACACACACGGGACGUACGCGGUACGCGCGGUGCGGCGGAGGGAAGAAGGACGAGGCCACACAAAUCGUGCGGCGGUUCGUGCCUUGCCCAGCGCUGUUGGUCGAUGUCGUCGACGCCGCCUGGGUUGCGCCUGUGCGAUUUUCGGGAAAGGCGAAAAUCCCGUUUUCCGGACUCGGGGGAUACGUGAGCGCGAGCAGCCGUGAAGCGUCGGGAGUGCGAAAGUGCGCGGUUCGGCGCGAGUGAGGUUCAUGUUGAACACGAGGGUGGUACGGUGGACUCGGCGGCGGCUCGUCGCCUGCGCGACGGCGCUUUAAAUGAUCAACGACCGGGACCGGGACGAGUGUCGUAGCACGUCGGAGACGGGAGGACACGCUCGGCAAGAUCUGCGCGUAUACACGGGAGGAGUGAGACUCGGGCCGAUGUUGUAACGUUUUUUUUUCCUUUUCGCGGAGGGGCCAAGAUGGAAGAGCGUAGCGUCCACGGCAGUAUCGGCGAUAUAAAUAGUGCGGAGGCGACCAAAACUUUAAUAAUACCACGUAAGAAGAGGAUAUGCUUGGUUGGUGCAACCUGCAAUGAUCCUGCGCUUAAUGCUGCUGCUCAGCAAUUCAAAGUGCCUGUACUUAAGUCUGAAACCGGCACGGAACAUGUUGAGGACACUACUUACAAUACUUAUUUCAUACUCAAACAAUUUGAAGGGUCCGAAUAUGAUGCUUUAUGCAAGAGUGCUCAUAGAGUACUGGGACCUACAGCUUUGCUACAACUGGCAGAGAAGAAAGAACCUCUGCCCAGUAUUAAAAGACCAAUGUACACGCAAGCUAUGGUAGGCACAAUUGUGGUGUUUAGCGGCUUUCGGUCUAGAGAGGAUGAACUGCGCAAGUUAGCUAAUAUGAUUCUUAAUAUGGGAGGUAGCAUCCGAAAGGAGAUGGGUAUUAAAGUGACGCAUCUUAUUGCAAAUCAUUGCAGCGGAGAGAAGUAUAGAUAUGCUGACACAUUUGGAUUGCCUAUCAUGUCGAUAGACUGGGUGAUAGCAUUGUGGAAUGCUAAAGAUGAUAUCUCCAAGUACGCGAACGACGAGAAUUUGAUAGCAGCUUAUAAGCUGAAGCCAUUUUAUGGUGCAAAAAUAUGUUUCUCUGGUUUUCCUGACGACGAGAAGAGACAUAUGUGUGAGAUUCUGGAGCAACAGGGUGGCGAACCCACUGAGAUUGACGAUCCGUGCUGCACUCAUGUUGUGAUAGAUAUACCCGGUCUUUUCCACAAGAGAGCCAACGAUGUGGACUUAUAUCUUAAAAAUACAUCCAAUAGUCCACUUUCCUUAACGUAUAUUAAACCAAUUUCCUCUUCUUUCUAUAAUCCUUAUUUGAACACGAUUUUUAAUACAACAAAAUUUGAUCAUAGCAAUAUAUCUAGUUAUUCCUCGAAAAUCAAUUCGUUAAUCUCACGUACAAACGAUAUAGAACAUAGUGACCAGUGGAACGAUCUUGUUUCUAUAUAUAAUGUCAGUGUAGAUUCUGCUAUUAGUAUGAAUGAUAACUGCUUUAAUUUGCAAAAUUCAAUUAUUAAAUCUGAGAACUUAUUCCAUUCUUUCACGGAACAAAGUGAUUCUGGCGUAGACACGACCAGAUCAUCUAGUUCUUCUGCGGUUUUUAUGUCGAAUAAAUAUUCGAUUCCAACAACGUCGACAAUGAUAAACAAAAAGAACGUUAAAUUCUGUAUUUCUGAAAGCUCUUUGUUCGAUAACGAAGUAUCUCUUUGUGAAACUAUGUUAAACUUUCCAGAUAAAUCAAAUGAUUAUAAAUCGUCGCCAUCUUAUGAAAAAAAUAACGAAUCUAAUCUUUGUAUAUCACCAACGAGCAAUAAUGCAUUAUCUUUAAAAUAUCGUAAAAAUGUUCAUUACGUGCAGAAUAAUACAUCGAAAAGUAAAAUAAUUCCCAAACGAUAUAUAAAAUGGAGAAAAACUAAUUCCUGCACAUUUGUUCAUAAAAUGGCGACGCUUGAAAAGUAUAAGUUCACAAAGACGCUCUCGUAUCCGAAUAUAUUAAAGCGUAACGAGGAACAGUAUAGCGACACAUUUUUACACAAGGCAUUAGAUGAAAGGAAUAAGCAUUUGUCUAAAUCUAAUACAUCUUUUUUCUCAAAGAUCAGCCACUUUUCUUUCUGUCCAAUAUUUUCUGACAAUAAGCAAGAUACUUCCAUCAGUUCAUACUAUUGUCCACCCGAGAAAAACCUUUUUAAAAAGAAAUACACAUUUUUAUCCAAAUCUUUCCCAGUGCCUACAAAAAUUUCAAAUAGUAAACACAGCUUACGAAACACUUCUAUAUUUGAUGGCAAAAGUAACAAUGUAUCAUCUGCAUCACAUGACAUGAAAACUGAGUGCACAGAUUUGAAGGCAGUGAAGGAUAAAUCAUUACUCACGGUCGUAGAUGAGUCCAGCGUAAAUGUUCGUCCAAAUUUAGUUUCAGUGUCUGCUUUCAUAGUCAAAACUGGAUGGUUUUGGACAUCUGUACAAAAUGAGGCAGCCGCUGAUGAGAAAGAGUAUCUAUUCGAACAUUAUCUAGAAAAAGUUCUGUCCCCUACUGCGACGGGUAGACGAGACAGUCAACAGCUCGUACCGCAGAAUGUGACAUUGGCAAAGCACCCCUGUUGGUUAGAUGGUCCAUUAUCUAAUUUAUUACAAAACGGAGCGGAUUCCCCAGCCACCAGUGUCAGUGGAAGCUUUCUGGACUGCACAACAAGUCCGGAUAAACAGUUGCUGGACGAACAUUUGCCGAUUAUUACUUAUGUUCAAGAAAACUUGUCGCAACGACAUAAAGUUUUUCUUGAACUAGUAGAGACGGAGGGCAAUUACGUCGGUAUCCUCAAAACAAUUAUGACGUUAUUCAAAUUGCCACUGGAAAAUCUCAUAGGCAAAAGUGGGAAAGAGUUGCUAAAUAGUACAGAAGUAAAAAUUAUAUUUAAUAAUUUCCCACCCAUUUAUGAUAUUCACAAACAAUUGUUGGAGGCAUUACAUUGUAGUGCUUCUCACUGGACAGAGGAUAUCAGUAUUGGCGAAAUAUUUCUAAAGUUUGAACCAGAUUUAGUUAAAGCGUAUUCUCCAUAUGUUAACUUUUUCGAGAAUACAAAGCAAAUGUUGAAAGAAUGUGAUCAAACUAAGCCAAGAUUCCACGCCUUUUUAAAAAAUUGCCAGACAAUGCCGGAGUGCGGUAGACAAAGCUUAGAGGAGCUGUUAAUUAAACCAAUACAAAGGUUACCCAGUAUUAGUUUAUUAUUAAGCGAUAUUCUUAAGCACACGGACAAAAGUAAUCCAGACUAUAGCGCGCUCGAAGCUUCUAUUAGCUGUAUUAAGAAAGCAAUAACGUAUAUAAACGAGGACAAAAGGAAAACGGAACGGCAGGUCGCAAUGUUUAAAGUCUUUGAAGAGAUUGAUAAUUGCCCGGCGAAUUUAGUUUCCUCGAAUAGGUCAUUUAUCAGUAAAUGUGAUGUAAUGGAAGUUACGGAAGGUCUUAGUGGACGAGGGGAUCAUUUAGUAUUGUUUCUGUUUACCGAUACUCUCGAAGUAUGCAAGAAAAGAUCGAAAGCUUUUAACUCGGUAAAGAGUCCUAAUACUAUAAAUGGUUUGCAAUCAAAUAAAUCAAAUAAAUUAAAAUAUAAGCAUAUCAAAAUGUUGUCAUUAAGUACUAUCAAAAAAGUCGUCGAUAUACGAGAAACUGACGAAUGUCAUAAAGUAUUUGCACUUGUGGUACGAAGCACUCAGGAUCAGAAGGAAAAAUUCUUUUCGUUUAUAAUUACUGACGAGGAAGUAAACAAAACGAAUUAUCUACAGACAUUAUGCAGGCAAAUGGCUCUUGCUGCUCGUAUAGCUGAUGCUGAUAUGUUGCUCAUUAGAUAUGAUUCGCAUCAACUUGAAGUUGGUACUAGCGAUGUGGCAUCAGGAACAUUAAAGAAAACAAUUAAGAGCCUAUUUCAUAAUUUUUACCUGGAGUAUAUGGACCCGUAUGUCUUCCUACUCAAUAGCAUGUGUGAAACCACGUUACAUGUCCCACUACCGUUUGCAUCUCGUACAAGAGCGAGAGUUGGUCGAGCGUUUAGUUUCAAUAAAACGCCAAGCAAACUAAAUAGAGCGAUGUCUACAAUUAUGUCCCCAUUUGGAGUAGCACAAAAUCUUCCUCCCACAAACCAACAAAUAGCUCAGAUGCGGCUAGGAAGUUGCAACAACAUCAGCGAGUUGGAUAAUGGUGGUUCGAGUUCUCCAAAUAGAGAGGAUGUUCUGGUAGCGCCGAUGUCGGAUCAGCCGACUCGAAAAGCCCUCAGUAUGGCUUCGCUGCGAAGGUUGUAAUUAGUAUGGAAGAAGUCAUGCUUUCUUUUGCUACAGUCAUUUAGUAUUCUACAAAGAGACGUGCAUUUUUAACAGACCCCACUGUGAAUUUGUUCAGCGGGAAUCAUACAGAGGAGGUCUGAUCUUUAAGAUAUAAAAAAAAUUUACACGCAGCUUUAUUUCACUUUGAUCAUUUAUCAACGAAGAUACCGAUGCUGUAGAUUUUUUAAUAAGGCUUAAAAAUAUUCAUAUUUCAAAUAAAAUUAAUUUUUGGAAUAAAGUCUGGCAUAUAUGUGAAAAAUAUUCAUAUUCAGAAAUGAAAUUUAUUGUUAAACACUAAUGAUAAAAUGCAUACCUGCUAUGUGCCAAUAUAGCCAAUAUACUUAAUAACAAAAAUAUUGUCAAUUGUUACGAGUUUGAUAGGUUUGCUUAGAUAAUAUUAUAUUUCAAUGACCUGUGAUUUGAUUGGGUUUAUCACGAGGAGAAACAAUGCAAUUUACUAAUAUUUUAUACGUCCAAAAUUUAUUAAAGACAAACGCACAAAAGAAUAAAAAUUCCACAAUUUUUUAACAUCAAUAUGGAAUUGAAAUAAGAGAACAGAUUCAUAAAAUGAAAAUAUGUACUAUUUCAUAAAUGUUUAUACAAUUUUGUAUCUUUGUACUUUUUUCAUAAUUCUGCAUAAUUGAUUGUAUGAAGAAAAAAUGAAGAAUUGCCAAUAUUAAAAAUAUCGGAAAUAAGGAUUUAAACAACGAGAAACAUAUUGCUUUUUUCUGUAUAGUUAAUUACAUAAUGGUAAGAUAUAUAUAUGAUAGAGAAAAUAAUAAUGCACUAAACAUAAUCAAUAAUAAUCUUUAAGUAAUAUGCAAACAAUAUAUUGUCUUGGAACUUUCGGUGCUUUAUUUGAUGAUUAUUUAUUUCUAUUGUAUAAAUAUCUAAAUGCAAAUUCUUCAUUACUUAGUCUUCAAUUUAUUUGUUUAAUCCACGGGCAUAAUUUUAUUGCAUAAAUUCUCCUUUAUGUAAUUAAUACACACAUAAAAGUAACAGGCUCUCGACAAUUUGCUUUCUUUAUAGCAUUAAUUAUUCAUUUUGAUGCUUAGUUUGUGAAAUUUUUCUAAUUACAUAUUCUAAAAUAUUAUCGACUAUAAUUCAGCUAUAAUUAAGCAAUUGACUGGAGAAACAUGUAAAUAAAAUUAUACGUGAAAAAUAAUUACGAUAUGUACCAAGUAUAUCGGCGAACAGCGAAAACAAUCACGACUGAUAGGCUCCUUUUGAAAAUUUAAUGCAUGAUUUGAUAAAUAUUAAUUCAAGGAUUGCAGACAUACAUCAUCAUAAUUCUUCAAAUUUUCAACGCUCUAUAAAGAGUAUUUUAUUUUUUACACAUAUUUCGUUAUAUUUGAUUUCAUGCAACAUUAAUAGUUUAAUUAUUAACGUUGCAGAACUUGCGUUGCCUACAGCAACAUCUUGCCAUUGUAACUAUGUUUGUAAAAAUUGAAGACAGGCUAUAUAUGUGUAAGAUUGUUUCACGAAUGCGUCCACACGUAUUCGCUAUUGUGUUAUAACGCGAAUAUUCCUAAGUGUUUCGUUCGGCCAUGAUUGUAAUAUUCCAGCUCUACGUAUUAGCAUUUUCUUGAUGGUUCAUUAUUCGAAGCCUAACUAAAGUUUAUUUUCUAAUCGUUAAGACGAGAUAAAAGGAAGAAUAAAUAUUUAGUUUAAUUGCAGAAUAAUUGAUUAGUAAAUGUACUUGGCAGAAAAUCUUGUAGGCUCAGAAUGAUUUCUUCUCUUGCGAUCUUUCCUAGCCUUGACUCAAUCAAUAUAAUACGGUUCUCCUGUUUUUACAGAAUGAUACCAGUGCCACUUCUAAAGUAAUUAAAUAAAAUGCUGAGCGAGGAUUAAAGCUUUAAUAUUUUAUAUUACGUAUGAGCGACAUUUUUUACAAGCAUUACCGCAUGUGAGUCACAAAAAUCCGACAAUAUGGUAUCGAUAUAGGUUUUUAUCCAUAGCAUGUAUAUAUUGAUUGAUUAAAGAAAACCAGCGCGAAUCGCAAAAGGCUGCAGAGAAAGUGGAAGAAAGUAAUUCGAUCACUGCUUAUAAGAAUUAUACAGUUUUAUAUUACCGAUUAUAUUCUCUCUUGUCAUCUUAUGAUAAAUAUAAUUAGUGCCUUGAGUAUGACAACGAGUACGAAUAAAACUUGUAUUGUAUGAUGAAAUGUACUUUGUAUAUGUGCCUGAUUCGCGAAAGAGAUAAAUUGGAGACGUAUCCUUUCUCUUGAUUUCGUCUCUUGUAUUCUCUAAUAUUUUGUGCCUCCUAAUUUAGACUAUUUAUUAAGAAUUCCGACUUUGCGUACUGCGCUCUGUCUUAUUUCAAACCAGUGAGAGAUAUGGUACCUUAUACUUUCUAAUAACGAAUUGUUAUCCCGUAAUAACGAAAACGUGCUUCUUUCAAAUGCCAUUCGCGUGCAUGCUCGAAAUAAGCACGCUACCUAUUUAUAAUAAUAAUAUUAUUAUUAUAUAAGAGCCGCUAAGUAGAAUAGUGGUACGAAUCGCGGGGAAAAAAUAAAAUUUCUACACAUAUCAGUUUCCGUUAAUUAAUCUGGUAUCGCGUAGAUGGUUUGACAUAAUAUAAAAAUUAAAUCUUAUAAUAAUUGCUGCAAUUUUUCAACGUAAGGAUCGAUAUAAGAUAUGCUACUACUAUUCUUGCG